rnacentral:lncRNA from 1 species
GGCUCACAGCAACACCAGAUCCUUAACCCACUGAUUGAGGCCAGGGAUUGAGCCCAUAUCUUCAUGGAUACUAGUCAGGUUUGUUACCACUGAGUCAUGACAUUAACUCUGAAAAUUACUAUUCUUGAAGUAGAGAAUGGUACAAUUUAACUAGAAGUAAAAAAUAAAGAUACAGUAGAAGAAACCCUUCCUGAGACAAAGAAGGACCUGCAUAUACAUAGUGAAAGCUUUGCUGCACAGUAAAAAUGUAUAUGUUUUGUUUUAAAAAGCCUGGGAAAAAGAAUUAGUCAAACUUAUAACACAUAGGAGAUCCCUCAUGGCUCAGCAGGUUAAGGAUCUGGUGUUGUCACUGCUGUGGCAUGGGUUCAAUCCCUGGCCCAGAAAUGUCCCCACGCAGCGGACAUGGUCAAUAAUAAUAACAAUAAUAAAAAUGACACACAGUUCAACUUCUUAGAUGGAACCACUGUUAGCAUUUCAUUGUACCCUUCCGGCCUUUGGAUUUUCAUAGCUUAUUUGGCUAUAUUAGUAUUGUGAAAGAAUUUUUGAAAAUUCUAUUCCCUGAAAGGGAUAAAAAUAAAGGUUUUUGUUUCUGCUCAGGCCAUUAAAGAGAAUCAGUGUUUUCUUGGGGACCAGCAUGGAGGAGGAGUGGCUGCAGGAAUUAAGAGAUACUUGAAAGGUGAGGCGCGUUAGGGCUGGGACCCCUGGCCGUCUGCCGCUCCUCUCUUUACGUAUUUCCUGCCAAUACCCAGAGAAACUCAGCAAUUCUGGACUCUGAUCUAGAAAGUAUGGCCCACAACACUGACCAGUCUUGUUUAUGACAGUGAUGAAAACCAUAACGUAGUGGGUUCCUCGGCCAGUUGUAGGACCGAAUUAUUUGUAAUUAUUGGUUGGACGGUCAGGGUCCAGGCUGUGCGUCUCCUUGGCUAUCUUUUAGGAAAAGAACUGAUGCCUGUGUGAGGAGUGUUCAGAAAUCCCCUUGUCUGAAAGCAGGAGGCAGGAGGGCGUGAGGUCUAAAGACCCCUCCCCAUUCUGCUAGCUUGUGUUUCCCUGGUGCCAUUGGAUCCACUUGUAGCCCAGCAUCUGAGUGUAAUAGCGCCAUAAUUAACACUGCUGUGUGGGGAUAACAAGCAUGUAGGAAGCCAGGGGAGAGAAAACUCAGGUACUAAUGAGCACAUCAAUUACAAGAAUGAUAAACUUACUGUCAUUCCAACUAUUGAUCUUUACAUCACUCAGCUGCUGGUUCUGCAAACGAGCAGAAGGAAGGAAAAAUCUGCUAUCAUCCUACCACCCCCUUUAAUUACCAUUAGCUUUCAGGUCUAUGUCUUUUGAAGCUUUAUGCUGUCCAUAUGUUUGACAUGAUUUUGAUCAUAUGCUAUAGUUUAAAUUGUGUGGACUUCUUAUUUGAAAUUCCACCUAUUUUUCUGAUAUGAAAAGGAGUAGACACUCACUGUAGACAGUUUGGGGAAGUACAGAAAUAGGAAGGAGUUCACGGGUAGCCUAGUGGUUAAGGAUCCAGCACUGCCACGGCUGUGUCUUAGGUCACUGCUGUGAUGUGAGUUUGAUCCCUGACCUAGGAACUUACGCGUGCUGUGUGCAUGACGGGGGGCGGGGGGGAAAGCACAGAUUGAUAGGCAGAUAGACAAACCGAGAUAGAUAGACAGAUAGAUAAAUAAAGAUACCACAGGUCAGGACCGAACAGGAGCUGAGCCACUCAGAAGGGACUGGCCAUCCUGUGCCCAAGGGAGCCCCGUCUGUCCCCAGUGCCAGAGUGGCAUCUGAGAGCUGAUCACCCCUUCCCAUUCCUGUGAGAACUGAACAUCCUGCCACGGAGCUGCAAGAUUUCCCUCUCCUUGCCAUCCUGUGAGUAAUUCUCACAGACACUGCCAGAACACUGCCUGCUGACUAGGAGCGAUGGCCAGCUGCAUUCUGACGCUCCGUACAGCCUUCCUCCACCUUGCCACAUGGGCAGUCCUCUUAGAAUGACCCAGGACUCUUGGAAACGCUUUAAAAUACAGACGAUAGGAGAUGGGAUGAAGAUGGCGGAAGAGAAGGACGGGAGCUCAACUUCUCUCCUAAAAACAACAAAAGUCACAACUAAAGCCUGAGCAUUCUUCACCCAAAUGGACUGGAAACCUUAAAAAAGAUAUCCUACUCCAGAAGAAAAAGAGGUCACAUCAAGAUUUCGCGAUAUAAACAACCCCACACCUCCCGGGUGGGAAGCCCCACAGGCUGGAAACUGUUCCCAGAGACUCACCUACAGGAGUGAGAGUUCUGAGCCACACAUCAAACUGCCACGUGUGGGGAUCCGGCACUGGGAGAAAGAGCCCCUGGAGCAUCUGGCAUUGAAGGCCAGCGGGGCUCGUGUGCAGGAGCUCCACGGGACUGGGGGAAACGGAGACCCCAUUCUUAAAAGGCGCAUAAAGACUUUCACGUGCACUGGGUCCCAGGGCAGAGCGAGGUCUCCAUAGGAAUCUGGGUCAAACCUGACUGCAGUUCUUGGAGGACAUCCUGA